AAAAAUAAAAUGCUUUCAACGAGCACAUUGCUAUAAAAAAUAUCAGAUUAACUUGCUGCAUUUACAGAAGGAAGCUCUUCCUCGUGCAAUAUUCCUUCUCCUGGUCUUUCCUCAUACAAUAUUCCUUCUCAUCCACUGGCUCUGGUCUAAAAUCUCCAUGUCUGCUUUGUAUCCCUUUUUUUUCCUGGCUUGGUUUAGUGUGCUGAUACUCUUCGGAGUCGUAGAUAGGAGAAUGGGAUUGCUCCACUUGCCUGCAAUCCUUUUCAAUUACGGUCUCUGUAUAGAACUCGCUAUCUGAUUUCAUGUCUUAAGGUUUAGGGAAAAGUUUUCCUGCGAACUCGGUGGAGAUUAUAUGCAAGAGUAGAGUGAAAGUAGAGACAGAGCAAUUGAGGAGGUGAGCGAGCCGUUUGACACAAAACUUCAUAGCACAUGGAUUCAUUUUUGGCAGAAGAGAGAAAUCUUCAAAUCUUUCAUCUAUAAUCUAUUUGCGGGUACACAUACGGUUCUCGAUGCUUCACGACUAAGUGAUUUCAGCGCAUGCACAAAAGACUUGGGAAGACUAAGAUACAUGCAUGUCAGUUUUGUUGUCUUGACAAUAUGAAACUGGAAGUUGCUAUUGACGAUUGAAAUUGCAGUUACUGUGAUGAAGAAGAAUAAAAAUCAUUGUGAUGAAGGAGAACAGUCAUGGAUCUCGUCAUGGACAGUGAUUAAGGAGGGUUGUAGGAGCCAUCGCAUUCUCCUAUAUACGGCUCUGAAGAAUAUCAUCACACUAAUGCAAAAUCCAAAAAAAUUAGGGUUAUAAACAAGAGCAGACUUGGAGAUUUUAGAUUGGAGCCAGGGGAUGAGAAUGAAUAUUGCAAUGAGAAAUCUCAUUCUCCUUCUUUUAUUCGAGAGAAGGUAAUGAUACUAAGGUUAGGAAAAUAAAAUUAGGUUCAUAAAGAAGGUUGGACAUGAAAGCUAAAGCCAGUGGCGAAGCCAGGAAAAGAAAGAAAGAGAUGGGUAAUGAGGGUGGGAGAGAAAAAGAAAUCAGUUGGACAUAAAAGCACUGAUGAGGUAGAGCAGUCGCUGAAGAGGAAGAGUGAAGAUAGAAUCAGUGUCGAAGCUAAGAAAAGAAAGAAAGACAUGGAUAAUGAGGGUGGGAGAGAAAAGAAAUCAGUUGGACAUGAAAGCUCUAAUGAGGCAGAGCAGUCACUGAAGAGAAAGAGUGAAGUUAGAGCCAGUGGUGAAGCCAGGAAAAGAAAGAAAGAGAUGGGUAAUGAGGGUGGGAGAGAAAAAGAAAUCAGUUGGACAUAAAAGCACUGAUGAGGUAGAGCAGUCACUGAAGAGGAAGAGUGAAGAUAGAAUCAGUGUCGAAGCUAAGAAAAGAAAGAAAGACAUGGAUAAUGAGGGUGGGAGAGAAAAGAAAUCAGUUGGACAUGAAAGCUCUAAUGAGGCAGAGCAGUCACUGAAGAGAAAGAGUGAAGUUAGAGCCAGUGGCGAAGCUAGGAAAAGAAAGAAAGCGAUGGAUAAUGAGGGUGGAAAGAAAAGAAAUCAGAAUCCAAUUUUGAACCUGUAAAUAAGAUCAAGAGAAUUGUUCAUUUUGGAGACAAUUUUGAAAAUUCUAGGAGCAACAUAAAUGACACAAAAAUGAAAGAAAUGUGGGACAAAAUUUCUGGAGACUCGAAGUCAAAGAAUCAUUGAAGAUGAUGCAUUUAUUGAUGAUGCUAGGGUUGAUCCCCAUGGCCGUAUUAUCACUGCUGAUGAUUUUAUCCAUAAUGCUCCACAGGUAGAGGAAGGAGAGGAAGAUGAUGAAAUCGACAACCUUAUUAAAUCUAAGAAGAUGAAAAAGAAAGGAUUUGUAUGCUCACCACAGGAAACUGCAAUGCUUAUUGAGCAAUUUCUGGCUAAGUUUGAAGUUGCAGCCGAGGAAGAUAUCGAGUUCAACUGGCAAUCCAGACAGCAAUUAAUAAGCUUAAAAUGUUACCUCUGCUAACUGAGGCCCUGUCCAAGUGAGAUGUUCUAUGGUUAUGAUGUGCCUUGUCCAAAGGGAAUGUGCUCUGUGUUUAGCUUUCCAACCUAUCAGUAUUGUUGUAAAACAAUUGGCUGUUCCAGGCAACAGUUGCAGCAAGAAUUCUUAGACUUAGGGAUACUUCUCGUUUUAAAGAAUUGUGUUGAGCUGCUGCCAGAUGGAUGUUUGCCUAAUAUAAAUCUUCAGACUACAAUAUUGAAGAUCUUAACAGAUGUGAGGCGAUAUCUUUUAUAUCUGACUUCUUUACCUGUUUUAUUACAAUUGCAGUCUCAGAAAUUCUCUCAUGGUUACCAACUUACCAGUAAACAUUGAACAGUUUGUUAGGAGGAACUACUUAAGAAAAGUAGAAUUGGAAAGAUUACCAUGUUACUGUCAAAUUCAGAUGAGCAGAUACCAUCUAAUAGAAAGCUUGCAAAAGAUCUCGUUGACAAAUGGGUAAUUGAAAAAAUAAUAAAAAUGUGAGGUUUUAUUUUUCUUCAAGUCUUAGGGACCCUGAUUGUUUGAUUUUAAUUGUUGUAUUUUUUAAACUGUCUUGUUUGUGGAAUGAGGGGAUGAAUAGGCUAAAUUGAUCCCAUGAGAUACAGAUCCAACCAAUAAUCUAAAAGAGUACUAGAUAUGAAGACAUGAGAGCCUUUGGUGAAGAAAGAGUUCCUUAUAGAAGGCCACCACCAAGCAAAUGAAGCAAUAACUGAAGAAAGGCUAUGGCGUUGAGGUUUGAAGAUGAUGGUGAUGGUUUUGAUUUUUCAGAACUUUCACAAUAAGUCUCACAUUUUAACUUUUAUCCUUAAGUAAGGUGUUUUAAUUUAUACAGUUCUUGCAUUGACCUAUUUCAUAAUUUUAACUGUAAUUUUGAAUGUUUUAUAGGGAACCUAACAGACUUACUAAAGUAUGUGGUGUGUCCUCAAUCAAAGAUUGAUCCAGGAGAAAUCUGAGCUCGUAACAAUAUGAACGGUGGAGAAAGUUAGAUUUCCAUGAAUCUGUUAUGAUUUAAACCUAGGAUCUCACAUUUUCUAUCAGGAUGUUCUCUAACCACUUGUAAAGUGGCUGGAGAACAUCCUGCCAAUUUACAGUCUAGAUUGUAAAUUGUUAACUGCACCACAACCCUCUCCUCUCCUUGCUCUGCCCUUUGCUCCCAAUCUACCAAUACCCUCUAUAUCAGAUAUCAGAUUCAAAAACUUCAAUUCGUUUUUCCAUCAAUAGACAAUUCACUUUUCUCUUUCUAGAUUAGCUUGUAGGCUUUACAGAUUAUAGUUACAAAAUUACACAUUUUCACAACAUUCCCAGUUUUAAAUUUUUUUUUUU